GGAAAGCCUGUGAUGAAGGCCUGCAUAGAAAAUGAAGCUCACUGCAUUGACAUUUGUGGAGAUCCUCAGGAACGUUCACUGCUGUGGAGAGCUUUAUAACUGUACGCACGGGACCCAAGGGGAGCUCUUUUCUUCAGUAAGAAGAUAGAGCAGUAUGCCAUUCCCUUCAUUGGCUCAGAUCCCUCUGUGGUGCGAUGGGCUCAGCGCUACCUGCAUGAGGACAUAAACACUCCCCUGUGAGCUAAU